rnacentral:rRNA from 1 species
UACGUAGGGGGCGAGCGUUGUCCGAAGUUACUGGGCGUAAAGCGCGCGUAGGCGGGCUUCUAAGUUCGGGGUGAAAGGUCCUGCGCUCAACGUGGACAGUGCCCUGGAUACUGGUUGUCUUGAGUGUGGGAGGGGGAAGCGGAAUUCCGGGUGUAGCGGUGAAAUGCGUAGAUAUCCGGAGGAACACCGGUGGCGAAGGCAGCUUCCUGGCCUAACACUGACGCUGAGGUGCGAAAGCGUGGGGAGCAAACAGG